GAUUUUGUAGCUUAGUUGGUUAGAGUACUAACUUACUAAGCGGAGGUUUUGAGUUCGACUCUCAAUGAAAGCA
rfam:Nicotiana sylvestris Nsyl_contig104057, whole genome shotgun sequence.